UACGUAGGGUGCGAGCGUUAAUCGGAAUUACUGGGCGUAAAGCGUGCGUAGGCGGUUCGUUAAGUGCGUCGUGAAAGCCCCGGGCUCAACCUGGGAAUGGCGAUGGAAACUGGCGGGCUGGAGUAUGGCAGAGGGGGGUGGAAUUCUGCGUGUAGCAGUGAAAUGCGUAGAGAUGCGGAGGAACACCGAUGGCGAAGGCAGCCCCCUGGGCCAAUACUGACGCUCAGGCACGAAAGCGUGGGGAGCAAACAGG
rnacentral:rRNA from 1 species